rnacentral:tRNA from 1 species
CAAGAAAUAGUUUAAUAAGAAUAUCAGUUUUGGGGAUUGAUGGCAGAGCGUAAGCUUUUUUCUUGA